rnacentral:rRNA from 1 species
AUUGAACGCUGGCGGCAGGCUUAACACAUGCAAGUCGAACGAGUGGCGGACGGGUGAGUAAUGUAUCGGAACGUGCCUUAUAGAGGGGGAUAACUACUCGAAAGGGUAGCUAAUACCGCAUACUAUUGUAUCUGCCCAGAUGGGAUUAGCUAGUUGGUGGGGUAAAGGCUCACCAAGGCCACGAUCCGUAGCUGGUCUGAGAGGAUGACCAGCCACCCUGGAACUGAGACACGGGCCAGACUCCUACGGGAGGCAGCAGUGGGGAAUAUUGCACAAUGGGCGAAAGCCUGAUGCAGCCAUGCCGCGUGUAUGAAGAAGGCCUUCGGGUUGUAAAGUACUUUUAGCGGGGAGGCGUUACCCGCAGAAGAAGCACCGGCUAACUCCGUGCCAGCAGCCGCGGUAAUUC